rnacentral:rRNA from 1 species
UGGGGAAUAUUGGACAAUGGGCGCAAGCCUGAUCCAGCAAUGCCGCGUGUGUGAAGAAGGCCUUCGGGUUGUAAAGCACUUUUAUCAGGAGCGAAACGCUGUCGGCUAAUACCCGGCGGAACUGACGGUACCUGAGGAAUAAGCACCGGCUAACUUCGUGCCAGCAGCCGCGGUAAUACGAAGGGUGCAAGCGUUAAUCGGAAUUACUGGGCGUAAAGCGUGCGUAGGCGGUUUCUUAAGUCUGCUGUGAAAUCCCCGGGCUCAACCUGGGAAUGGCAGUGGAUACUGGGAGGCUAGAGUGUGUCAGAGGGUGGUGGAAUUCCCGGUGUAGCGGUGAAAUGCGUAGAGAUCGGGAGGAACAUCAGUGGCGAAGGCGGCCACCUGGGACAACACUGACGCUGAGGCACGAAAGCGUGGGGAGCAAACAGGAUUAGAUACCCUGGUAGUCCACGCCCUAAAGCGAUGCGGACUGGAUGUUGGUCUCAACUCGGAGAUCAGUGUCGAAGCUAACGCGUUAAGUUCGCCGCCUGGGGAGUACGGU